CCCGCACAAGCGGUGGAGCAUGUGGUUUAAUUCGACGCAACGCGAAGAACCUUACCAGGGCUUGACAUCCCCUGACCGCGUAUGAAAGUACGUUUUCACCCUCGGGUGACAGGGAGACAGGUGUGCAUGGUUGUCGUCAGCUCGUGUCGUGAGAUGUUGGGUUAAGUCCCGCAACGAGCGCAACCCCUAUUGUUAGUUGCCAUCAUUCAGUUGGGCACUCUAGCGAGACUGCCGGUAAUAAACCGGAGGAAGGUGGGAUGACGUCAAAUCAUCAUGCCCCUUAUGACCUGGGCUACACACGUGCUACAAUGGUUGGUACAACGAGUUGCGAGUCGGUGACGGCGAGCUAAUCUCUUAAAGCCAAUCUCAGUUCGGAUUGUAGGCUGCAACUCGCCUGCAUGAAGUCGGAAUCGCUAGUAAUCGCAGGUCAGCAUACUGCGGUGAAUACGUUCCCGGGCCUU
rnacentral:rRNA from 1 species